GACGAACGCUGGCGGCGUGCUUAACACAUGCAAGUCGAACGGAAAGGCCCUGCUUUUGUGGGGUGCUCGAGUGGCGAACGGGUGAGUAACACGUGAGUAACCUGCCCUUGACUUUGGGAUAACUUCAGGAAACUGGGGCUAAUACCGGAUAGGAGCUCCUGCUGCAUGGUGGGGGUUGGAAAGUUUCGGCGGUUGGGGAUGGACUCGCGGCUUAUCAGCUUGUUGGUGGGGUAGUGGCUUACCAAGGCUUUGACGGGUAGCCGGCCUGAGAGGGUGACCGGGCACGUGGGGGGGAGAGGUCCGCCGCGUGAUGGGGGGGGGGGGGGAGGGGGGGAAGAUGGAGAGGCGGGCGGGCGGCGGAGGCACGAGCGGGGGGGGGUGGCAGGCGGCCUGGUGGUUGGAAGCGGCGUUCGCUGGUGAGGAGGAGGGGGGGAGGGUAAUGGGAAAAGAAGCUCCGGCCACCUACGGGCCAGCAGCGACGGUAAUAAGCGGAAGCGAAGUCGCCUGAAC
rnacentral:rRNA from 1 species